rnacentral:lncRNA from 1 species
AGCCAUCAACCUUCAACAGUAUCAACCAAACCCCUCCGACGGACAAAUUUCCUCUGGACUCCUCCAGCAGUCGACCUUCCACAGUGUCCCCCAGGCUCCUCCAAUAGAUGAACUCCUGCAACACCUUCUCAAUUCCACCAUCGGUCGACCUUCUGUCGGAUUCCUCAUGCAACCGGACCUCCCCAGCAGAUAGUCUUCUGACAAGCUUCUAUAUCAGACAAAUUCCAGAUGAACUUCUACAACGGACGGGCUCCAGCAGUCGAAUUUCUAUGGCGAUCGAUUAUCUCCGGUGUCUUCCGUACCUCUCCAAGCCAUCAGCCUUCUACAAGUGCCAACCAAACUCCUCCGGUGGAUGCACUCCCAUAACGCCUUCUGAACUCCUCUAGUGGAUGAACUCCCACAAUGCCUUUCGGACUCUUCUAUCGGACAACCUUCUAUAGCACUUUCUGAAUUUCGGAUGGACUUCUCUAGUAAUCAGACUCCAGUCAGACUUCUUCAACAGAGAGUCUCCACCCGGGCUUCCACAGCAGAUGACCUCCAUCUGCAGCAUCAAUGCCUAAGGUCCCUAACAACAGUUAACCCGUCAGCAACCUCGAAAACAUCCAAUUUUCUUUUAGACAGAGAGCUACCCCGCUCCACCA